AUUGAACGCUGGCGGCAGGCCUAACACAUGCAAGUCGAGCGGCAGCGGGAAAGUAGCUUGCUACUUUUGCCGGCGAGCGGCGGACGGGUGAGUAAUGCCUGGCAAAUUGCCCAGUCGAGGGGGAUAACAGUUGGAAACGACUGCUAAUACCGCAUACGCACUACGGGGGAAAGCAGGGGCCCUUCGGUCCUUGCGCGAUUGUAUAUGCCAGGGUGGGAUUAGCUAAUUGGUGAGGUAAUGGCUCACCAAGGCGACUGAACCUGGCUGGUCUGAGAUGAGAAUCAGCCACACUGGGACUGAGCCACGGUCCAGACGCCUCCGGGAUGGAGCAGUGGGGAAGAUUGGAAAAUGGGGGAAACCCUGAUGCAGCCAUGCCGAGUGUGUGAAGGAGGCCUUCGGGUUGUAAAGCACGUUCAGCUAGGAAGAAAGGUCAGUAGCUAAUAUCUGCUGGCUGUGACGUUACUCGCAGAAGAAGCACCGGCUAACUUCGUGCCAGCCGCCGCCGUAAGAC
rnacentral:rRNA from 1 species